UACGUAGGGUGCGAGCGUUGUCCGGAAUUACUGGGCGUAAAGAGCUCGUAGGUGGUUUGUCGCGUUGUUCGUGAAAACUCACAACUCAAUUGUGGGCGUGCGGGCGAUACGGGCAGACUGGAGUACUGCAGGGGAGACUGGAAUUCCUGGUGUAGCGGUGGAAUGCGCAGAUAUCAGGAGGAACACCGGUGGCGAAGGCGGGUCUCUGGGCAGUAACUGACGCUGAGGAGCGGAAGCGUGGGGAGCGAACCGG
rnacentral:rRNA from 1 species